rnacentral:lncRNA from 10 species
GCGCGGCGGCCGGCCCGCGCCCUUAACCCUUCGCUGCGCGCCGCCCGGGGAGGCGGGCACCUUUCCCAAAGAGUGGCUCGGGAUGGGGUGCGGGGGAGGGGAGACGCGGACCGGAGGGCAAGGUUCCUUCCAGGCGCUCGGAGCAGCAUCUGAGAGGGCUCACUCUGAUCAUCAGCUGCACGUUAAGCCACAAACCGGCGUCGCUUCGGCGUUCCGGAACCCAGGCCUGGGGGCCGCGGGGAUUGCCUCUGCGUGCAACUCCGGAAAGUUUCAAGGGGUCCCCCGACUGCACAGGUCCGGAAAUCGGCUUUGAUAUGGAACUACUCCGCUCUAGCCUGGAAAGGAGACCCGCGCACUCCUCUCGCAGCUAAUUUCGGAUCAUUAAUUUAAUCGGAAAUGAGGUAACCAGUGUAGGAGACAGAGAAAGCAACCGGAGCAUCAAAUGGCAGUUCUCGAGAAUCGACGAGGAACUUAAAUCUGGACUCAGGGUUUCAGUGCGGUCUCCGACUCCCACCACCCCGCCCCUCCGCCUGUCUCGCCGCCAGGUGUGACCUCCACGCGAAGGAAUCUUCUUCGGAUGGGUGCACCUUGCCAACAGGUGUGGCACCUGGAGGACUAGGAGGCGCCUCCAGACUAAGGGCGCUCAGUGCGGCGUUCUUGUUGCAGAUGAUUCUGGAAGGCCGGUAGGUGUCGGGCGACAUUUGACCUUCUUCAGGUGCUUAGAACUAAGUGUCUGGAAACAUGAUCCUUUCGCGUAAGUUUCUUUCUGAAAGCCACCAAUCUUGACUGUAAGCUGUAUUUGAGAGAUCUUUUGGCUGAGUUUACUUAUGACCUAACGGUUAGUCACCAACUGAGGCAGGGCACAGGAUGACCAAAAAAAAAGUGUCAGUUUUUACACAACUCUGGCCUGCAAGAGCCUACGUGCUUCAUAAAUAAAAAUAAACAUACGAGCGAGGAAGGUGCAGAGCCCCGGAAAUAUUUUUUUCUCACAUUUUUGAAAUACCAUGCACAUAUAUGUGGCUAUUUAAGUAUAACUACUAGUGUUCACUCUUACUCAUUUCUACAACUUUUUUUUUUCCAUUUAAAAAUCGAUUAUUGUUACGGUUUAAACCUCGGGUUGGUCUAAAGUGACAUUGUUGGUCUCAUUACAGCCUCUAGUGGACAGUUAACAUCAGUUUCCUGAAAAGGCUCUGACUGGUUUUGUUUUCGUUGACAAGCUUUGUCAAGGUGAAGGUUAGUACGUAAGAGCAUAACCGGGUAAAAUGUCCCCUCACCCCUAUCCUCACCCCCGCCCCCAACACCCUGCUUGGCAAAGACGACUUCAGAAAGGAGCAGAAGCUUGUUGGCUUUAUAUAGAAAAGACGUAUGCUUUGUGCUGCAGGUAUUAUUAUUACUGGACUGUGAAUAAACAGAAAGCUUCUGCUAUUCAUUUCAGUUUCAGACAGCUUUCAUAAAAACUAAAUUCAUCUCAAAUAUUUUUAUAACAGAAAAUAUUGGUUGCCAUGUUUUUGGCUUAACUGCGAUGUUUUUAUUCCAACUCAUAAUCUGCAAACUGUCCAAUCCACCUCCACUCUAUUUUUAGACAUCUUACAUUUAGAUAAUUUUCAGUUAAAAAAAAGCUAAUAUUGUAAUUUUACGUUGGCACAAGCAGUUAAUUUACGUGAUUUUAACAACCUUAAAUUAAAACACAUAAUUCAGAUUACAGUUAGUCAAUUAAUUUAAAUGUUCUCUCAAGGAAGCUAAAUAUGUAUAUUACCCAAAUGGUAAAAACAAUUAAUAAGAAAUGUGUCAUUUACUUUCUUAGCCAUUAAGUUUAAAGCCAUAAACUGCCACCAAAAUCUGUAACUAUUUCUUCCUGCAAGAUCCAACAUAAACACCAUACUCAUGAAA